AUAUAUAUAUAUAUAUAUAUAUAUAUAUACACAUACUCACACAGACAGACACAGUCUCACACACACACACACACACACAUAUAUAUAUAUAUAUUCAGAUAUAUAAAUACCAGUUCAAUAAAUUAAGGUAAGACUGGAUGAAAAAUUUAGAAUUUUUUGUUUGCAAUCAGUAACAAAUAAUUUUGUCCCAUACUAAAUAAAAAAUGUCAUAUUUACAUUUUAAAGAAAGCCAUAAUUCAAUAUUUUGUGAAAGAUAUUAUAAAAAAAUAGUUACUUUUUAAAAAUAUAAAGACUAAAGCUCAUGUUAUUAUUGAAUAAUAUAAAGAACAGUUUGCCGAUUUAGUAAUAUUUUCUGUCACCUCAUAACAUUCUCACAUUAAUAUCAUUUCAUAAGUGUGUGUCUUUGCCACUAGAUGUCAGCAGAGGACAGGAAACUAAGCACAGUGCUUCCAUGAUACCUAAAACGACCAUUCAGAUAUUUUUGUCAUUGGUCUAAUAGCGAAGGUGUUUAUUUUAUUUCAUCUUUUCUCGACACAUCAUCACUAUUUUGCCCUGUAAAAAGCCAAUAAUCAUACUACAUCUGCCAUCAUCUCCAAUAUAGAUGUCUACGCAUUUUUUGCGAUCCAUUGCUUCCCCAACCCCCUCUACAAUUUUUCUGUCCACGCUCCCCGUGACCAAAGUGUUGAACUGUUUUUGUCGAUAUUUCCAGAUUUGUUCUUCUGUUUCCAACCUUUCUUCAACUAAAAGGGCUUUCCAGCUUCUCCUCAAUUAGACGAGCCCUUGAUGGUGUUGGUACGACCGCAGUGCAUUAUGGGAGGGGGUCCUCAGUGAGGACGAGCAAAACAAUCGCUGCUUUAUUCCCCCUAAUAGCCCGCAUUGCAUCGUGGGUAUCACCAUGGCUUUCUUGGACACUUGCCCCUUGGCAGCCAUGGUUGAGUUUAAAGGACAUUUGGUUGGACAGAAUAAAGAGAGAUUUCGAACUUGCGUUACAUGAACACACUGAACUGAAUCAUAAUCAAUCAUUUUAUUGCUAAAUUUUCAUCGUGCACUGAACAAACCCAGACAAUAGCCAUCAACAACGCCCAAAAUUUAAUCGAAAGGAUGCUUUUAACUCAAACGGACAGAACUUUUUGCAGUUAUUCCGACCACUUUGCCAAGAUAUUCUGUUUUUCCUAUUUAUUUUGCCUGUCUUUCCUUUGAGUUCUGUGUCUGAUGGGUUAGUUUAGCUGGUCACACUUCACACCGAACGACACAAAACUGCACCCCGCGUCUCCCGUGUCAUCUUUAUUAACAAGACCGCAGCUUUGUGAACCAUGUCAUACUGGAAUGUGAUGCUAGUCGAGGUCCUGAUGCUGCACGGUCAGCAUAGCGACGGAUCCCUCAACAAUAAAAAGAUGUGAAUCCCGAUUCCGGAUGACAUAGCUUACUUGUUCGUGCCGACUGAUAUGCUGACCACCAUUCAACUGUGAAACUAACAUGAUGUCACAUGACGCCCUGAGACGUCACAUUGCGUUGUGAUGCAUUUAUAAAGCUGUGCGUUUAGUUGAUUCAGGUGCCACCGUGACGCCCGGAUGCGGUUUCUUCGCUCGGUGUGAAGUCUGAACAAUAUGAAGGCCUUCAUAGACGUAGAGAAGCGUGACAGAAAUGCACCGACUUGUAUGAAUGUAGUAUCUAUUUGUGACCCAGAGCCAUUAUUUUGUUCUUUUGUUGAAUUGUUUUUGCUUUUUCAUUUUUUUUUAAUUUCAUGACGAUGUGCCGAGCUGAAAUUUUCCAUGCGUUGUACACUGUUUAAUUUUUUUUUCAUUUAAUCAUUCAAUAAUGGACAAAUAUAGACUGCCGUAUAUCUUGUAUUGAAUUUGAUUUCCAAUGGUAUUCUAUAGAAAGUAUAUUCUAUACAUAUAUGAGAUAUAUGAAACAGCGCCUCUUUAGUCAAACUCUCUCUUGUGGGAACUGCAAUGUGUGGCUCUGCCUGUUGACUAUUUCCACGUAAACCUGUGACUUGAUUUGUAUGGUGUCUGUAUAUAUCCAAACGAAAAAAAUAAACUGUUGAAAAAUACA